GAAAUGUGAGAGUUCGUAAAUGAGGAGACAGGCAAAUACUUAAUGAAAAAUAGGAUGUGGACAGAUAAAUAGAUAGGAAAACUAAUUAUGGACAGAUAAACAGGUAGAAAGAGAUGGGAUGCAGUAGAGGGAUAGAUAAGUAGAACUGGUAAUUAAUAAAUGAACAGGUAGACAAACAUAUGAAAGUAGAAGAUAAUAGAUAAAUAGUCAAAGUAGAUAGUAACAUGGACAGAUAGACAGACAGAUAGUAGUAAGCUGUAGAUGAGCAGGUAUGCAGACGGGUGACAUGAGAUAAGCAUCACAUUUGUAGGUAGCAGAAAAAAAAAAAAUGCAGACAGACAGACAAAGACAGGGAGAUGAUAAAUAACUCACACCAAAGAGAAUUUAUUUUUUUAUUUAUUUUUUUAUCAUGGAAAAUAUCUGCGGUCCAUCCAUGAAGCGAAAGAAAGAGAAAAUAUAUAAAAGUUUUCGUACGUGACUCAUGUUGGUCUCGAUAGUUAAAAAAAAAAAGAAGGAAAGAAUUGGGUCAGGAAUCUCCCUCUCUGAUUUAAUUAAUUUUCCCCAUUUGCCUUGAAGCUGCUUUGAAAUAUGCGGACACCAUUUUAUUAUUUUUUUAUUUCCACUUUUGAUAGCGUGAUUUUAGCGAUGACACGGUGAUGGAAAGUAAAAAAAAAGUAAAAAAGUAAAAGAAAAACACGACCAUAAAGGAACAUGAAAGAGGAAAGUAGAUAAGAUGAUAGUAAAAGUGAAAUAACAGAAAGGAAGAAUAGGGAAAAGGGAGAAUAGAUAAGAACAUAAAAAAGAACUAAAAUAACAUAGGAGGAAGAGAGGAAAAUAGGAGUGUGGGUAUGAAAACAGUAAAAAAAAAAAAACCGGAAAUGAGGAUAGAAAAGUAAAAAAAAAAACGAAGUGAAAGAAAGGAUUAAAUAGUGAACACUUACGUAAGAAAAGAACAGGAAAAAAAAAAAGAUAAGGUAAGAGUGGAUGAGGAGGAAAAAAAUAUUUGAAGAAGGAAACAGGAGAGAAGGAAAGAAAGAAGAAGCAGAGAGCGAGUUUGAGGAAAGAGUAAAGAGAAUUAAAGGAACAGUUGGAGGAAAGUAACUAAUAAUGGAGGGAAAAGAAAAAAAAUGUGGAGGAAAGGAUAAGGAGAGAUAAAAAGGAUGGGAUGGAGAGAUGCGAAGGCAGGGAGAGAAAAACAGGAGAGGGAGAUAAGGAGGAGUAGGAGAGAAGAGCAGAGCAGAGGAGAGACAGACAGACAGAGAGAGACAGACAGACAGACAGAGAGAGAGAGAGAGACAGACAGACAGACAGAGAGAGAGAGAGAGUUGAUAGAUCAUUAGUUAGAGGAAAAAAAUUAGUGUGUGAGAAAGAGAACAGGUGUGUGUGUGUGUGUGUUUUUGUGUGUGAAAUGGAGUGGAAUGCACGUGAUGAUAUAGCAUGUGUAGGUGAGUGAAUAGGUAAUAUGUCUAUUUGUCUGUCCGUCUGACUGUCUAUCUGUUGAUCUGAUCUAUCUGUCUGUGUAUCUGUCUUCUUUUCUGUCUAUCGGUAUCUAUCCAUUAUGUCUUUAUUUAAUUUUUUGCAUUUAUUUGUUUAUACAUUCAUUCAUUCUUUUGUUAAUUCAUACACUUAUUCCUUUUUUUUCUUUCUUCAUUCAUUAUUUUGAUCCAUCUAUCCUUCUUUUUUUUUUCUUCAUUCAUUAUUUUGAUCCAUCUAUCCUUCUGCCUUCACUCCGUAUUCAUAUUCCCCAACGUAAAUCAUCUCACAUUUGCAUCACAAGUGGCGAAGAGAACACACUCUUUAUACCAGUGAGUGUACAACAGUGGAGAGCGACGUGGCUCCUGCGCGUGUAGCUUUCUAAUGCUCGUAUUUACAAAAGCUAUACUUUCACCACUACUGUUUCCAAAACCCACAGAGAUGAUUAGCCGCAUUCUCAAGAGUGUGUUCUCCUGUUGAUAAUGUAGAAAUCUCAUUAGUCUGUCAUUAAAACCGUUAAAGUACCCUGAAAAGCCCGUGUAACUUCAACUGGAGCCUUUAAACAGUAGUGGAGGUGCGGGAAGUGUUACAGAAUGUGGUCCUUAGGCUCUGGCGCAUGGACAAGGCAAGGCAAGGCAAGGCAAAGUGUUUGGAGAAUGUGACAGCCAUGCAGAGUAUUGCUAUGAAAUAUGCACGUGGCCUCGUACUUGUAUGAUAAGUCGAGUGGCUGUGUGUGUUUAUCGCCACAAAACUGUUAUUCUUUUUCUUCCUCCUCUAAUGUCCUUGUGGUUUUCCUGCCUGCUUGCCUGUGUCUGCCUGUCUGAGUGAGUGAGCUGCGUGUGAAUAUUUAUGCCAACAUUUUAUUUGAGCUGCACAAGUGUCUGGAAAAGCUGCGUUUUUUUUUUCUUUGUGUGUGCGCGUGUGGAGGUGACAAGCGUGGACUUUCUCGCUUUUUCUUGAGUGUUUUCUUGCGUUGCUGGUGAUUAUAUUUACUCUCUUCAGGCUGCAUUGUGGGGGAGUUUAGCAGAGUGAGUCAGGUGGUGCGGUUUGCACUGAUGACUGCCGGGAGUGUUAGCUGGGGGAGGGGUGAGUGUUGUGGUUGAAAAUAAGAAGUAAGAGGGAAUAAAGGGAAGGUGAGGACGGGGGAAAGAAGAAUAAAAAAGGGAAGAAAGGAAGUAAGGUAAAACAGAAUAAGGAAAGGAGGAAUAAAGCGAAAAAAGGAAAGGAGGGAAAGAGAAAAAAAAAAGGGAAAGGAGGGGGAGACGAAGGGACGAAUAUAAAAGGAAGAUGGAAAGAAGAAACGAAAAAAGGAAAGAAGCAAAGGGUCAAAGUAGGAGGAAAGAAAAACAUGAAAAGUUGAGGAAGUGGAGAAGUAGGAAAACAAGGCAAAAGGUAAAGGAGGAUAAGAGGGAAAGAAAGGAAGGAGAUUAAAAAAGUUAAUUAAGGAAGGCAACCAGUAGAGAAUUACGGGUGAAGAAAGCAGUAAUAAGGAAAGGCCAGAGUAAAGCGUGAGAGGGAGGCUGAAAGCAAGACGAAGGAUGGCUGGAGCAUGGAAAUAAAAUCCACGAAUGAAAAACUGAAAGAAGAAUAAAGAACUAAGACUUAUUAUUACGAUAGGUUUUAAUUUUCUAUCAAAUCUAAACAGAUCUACAUGUGUACUAGUUCACAAAUAGGGGUGGAUGACUAGAACCGACUCAGUAAUUACGUUGUUAGUGUCGAGUCAAUAGAGAGUACGUUAUAUAAAAAUAUGGAUCAGAAUAUGAGAAGAAAAGGGAAGUUGUAAGAAGCCGCCAAUCCUACACGUGGCAGUUCCUGUAUUAAAGAUUCCUACCUAUUUACACAUAUCGUCCUUAUCCGUAUAUUUAUCUAAUCUUCUUUUAAAUACUGAUAACCUGAUUACGGUGUUAAUUCCAUUCUUCUACCACUCUAUUUGUUCCAUUCUUCUACCACUCUAUUUGAAAACUACUUCCUUCUUACCUCUUUUUUUUUUUUUUAACUAAUUUUACCAAACCAAAACCCUUUAUUUUUUUUAGUUUUAUCCUAUUUACUGAGAAUUUUGCUUAUGUCACCUUAUAUCACUAAAACACCUUCAUCAGAUCCACAUUUAACCUACGCCUCUCUAAGGAAAGUAAAUUUUAAAAGCCUCAGUCUCCUUUCUUAAGUAAUACGUCUCAUCCCUUGCAUCUUUCUAGUCACUCUCCGUUAUACUGACUUGAACAUGCCUGUAUCCCUCCUGUAAUGUGGAAUAACAGGUGAGUGUAGUUAUGAAUGUUUUACACAUACACUGCCACGUGUUGAUCUGAUGGGUUUUUGAUGCGUCGCUAUGGUCAUAUGUUCUAAAGUUUCACUCGCUACCUGGUGUUGUGCUCUCACCUUUGAUAGUGUGGAAUGAAAGGCCGCUUCGUCAUACGGCAGGAAUCACGCAGGAUAAAUCUGGAAACAAGUGAAACGUUGAGCUCAGCCGGCCGCCACAGACCAACAAACGUAUCCGUUGAUUGCACACCAUUUACUCGAUUCAUAAUUAUUGAGAUCUGGCUUAUCUUCGGAAAUACACAAGUGCUCAGAAAUUACCUGAUCAGAUACAUAAUUACCUGUUGAUUAAAUAUGGAAAUCCUCUCCUCUAAUCAUAUAUUAAUUCUCUCCUCAAUCGUCCAUCACAGAUCACGAUGUCUCGAAUACUUGUGAGGAUGUAAUAUAUUUUGACGAGAAAUCAUAUCGGAAAUGGGUGUACUCUGAGGAGAUCGUGUCUCAGCAGGAAGAUAACGACCAGUGAAUUAGAAACAGUGAUUAUUGUGGGAUGAAGGCACUUCAGUAACAGUCCUUGUCAACAGCAGUGGUUAGAAUCUAAAAGUAAAACAUUUGCAUUACAGUAAAAAAAUAAAUAAAUAAAUAAAUAAAAUGAAAAUCAAAUAAAUAAAUAAACUUAAUAUAGCAUUUUAUAUCAUAUGACUUACGUUCUACGUAGUUGUCUAGAUUUAGUGUUGAUUUUUUAAUGUGGUAUAGUUAUAUUAUUCUCUAGAUUUUAGCCACAGAUAAUAAUAUACAGAUAGACCCCCAAAUGUAUAGAUUCUACAAUAUACAUACUUUGCCAGCCAUCACGACUAUCCACACCAUCAAAAACAAGUUCUAUAAACACAAACUCAAUGUAGAAUGACCAAACACAAUACAAACCUCUUGAGAAGACGCGUUAAGUUACCAUGGCUUGAGAUCCACCUUCUCUGUCCCCACUAACCCUUGGGAGAGGCCUUUGUCACCUUGGUCCACCAGAAUCACAGAGGCUGAUGAUAACAGACAUGCAUUUAUACUGGCUGCACUGCUAGGUGGUGUCCCCAGGCGUCGGAUAUGGGAGCUCAUACAUACAUACAUAGUGCAAUUAUGGGUGAGUGGACGGGGUAUUGGUGGAACUGUCGCUUGUGCACCUCCAUCGAUAAUAAUUAAUAAGGUAGCGUACAAUUAUGCAUUGCUCCGGGAACUGUGCGCAGGGAGGCGAGCCGGUGGUGUGUCCGGUGCCUCUCCCGAUUCCAACAUUUCAUUGCCAGGUAUAAUUUCUGGUUAGUUAGUUGAAUAGUUAGUUAAUUGUUUGGUUUUACGUGUUGAGUGUAUUCAGUGGCAUACAAUGAAUAACAAAAAAAAAAAAAAAAUCACUCAAUGGGCCACUCAGGAAAAAGGUAACUUAAGCAGGAGAAUCACCCCAAUAAAAAAAAAAAAAGUUGACCAUUUGAAUUUGGAAGGUAUAAUGUUACUUCAUCUUCACUUCUUCUCGUGUUUGUCCACCACGUCACCGUCAAAGGUUUGGACAUUCACCUACCUCGUAUUAUACCAGCAAUCCCUGUAGCACUAUAGGAUUGACGGCUUCUGGGUUAUAGAGAUUUGCUUCCAUCACCUAUAACACUGGAAGAAGGCAGACGAAACUUAAGUGAAAAAAUAAGAAGUCAUGAAGAUGUACGAGUAUAUUGCUGGACUCAGUCGUGAUUGGGAGAGACGAAAUUUGUAUGAGAGUCCAAACAGUAUGCAUGAAGGAUGGACACACACACACACACACACUGUUCAUACCUUUUCCUAUCUCUCUCCUCCUCCUCCUCCUCCUCCUCCUCCUCCUCCCGUUCAAUUACCCAGAAUCAUAAAGUCUCUCACGUCUCUUAAAGGCACGUAGUUUUUGCUUCCAUCAGGUCACUUGGCUGUAAUUUAUUUUUUUACUUCCGAAUCGUGGAAAUGGAAAUAUUUGAUCAGAGCGAGCACAGCCUUAGAGAAUGAAGGCAUUAGAGAAACUUAUUUUUAUCAUGUGGUGUGAAAUGAAAGUGAAAGGAAAAGUAUUAUUCAUUCAUUGAGAGAGAGAGAGAGAGAGAGAGAGAGUGUGAGAGAGAGAGAGAGAGAGAGAGAGAGAGCCAAUACAUACAUCAAACGAAAGGCAGAAAAUACGAAAGAUGAAGAAAGAAAGAAAGAAAGAAAGAAAGAAAGAAAAAAUCAAGGAAGGAAAGGGGAGACAAAGAGAACUAAAGGAAAAAAAUAGAGAUCUAUUCUGCAAAUGAAAUCAGAAAGAGUGAAUGGAUAGAAAUGAAAUGAUGAAAGAAAAGCACGAAAUUAAAUCUUGUCUUGUAUUGCGACAGACUCUUCUUUAUCGACAAAAUUAAUUUCCUGCACUCCAGUAAAAGUAAAAAUUGAGGUACGAAGCCAAAUAUGUGAUGUGAAUAAGAAAUGAAGACUAGUGGGGAGGGGGAUAGAGAGAGAGAGAGAGAGAGAGAGAGAGAGAGAGAGAGAAUGAAAAAAACAGAAAACACAGACUGAUAGACAAACAAACAUACAGUAAAACAUAGAAGAAAUAAGGCAGACAGACAGACAGACAGACAGACAGACUGACUAAGUACACUAAUGUCCUAAAAAAAAUAGAUGAAAAUAUAAUUAUGGUCUUGUUAAAAUCUCAGAAAAGUUGCGAAAGUUUUGAGUCCAAUAUUUUGUAAUUUCGUUUCUCUUUUAAGUUCAAGAAAGUGAAGAAAAAUAGUGGAGGAAAUGAAGUAGUUUAGUGGUUUAAGAAAUCAUUCUGCGAAAUUAUGCUUCAAUUCCUUCCUUCUAUUUCUGGCAGUUCAAUAGAUUACCGUCUUUCAAGGUUAUUUUCUGGUGCGCUUUUAAAUAUAUGACCUGAAUUGAGAGUUGUUGGUGGAGCGUGACCCUAAAAGAAAUUAAUAAAGAAAACGAUAUAGAAAAAAGUGAUCGAUGAAAAUAAGGAAAAAAAAACACAAGAAUAGAAUGAGAGACUAAUUAAAAAAAAAGAAGCAAAAUAGCACAGGAAGAAGGUAAUCACGUAUUACGAGAAGGGAGGGAAAGAGACAUCAUUAAUUCAGAAAAAGAAAUGAAAAAAAAGUGCAGUAGAAGCAAAUUUCUUUUUCAUCUGCUAUUUUCUGUGACUGCAUCGGCAGAGAGAGAGAGAGAGAGAGAGAGAGAGAGAGAGAGAGAGAGAGAGAGAGAAAUCUUUAUUCCAUGGACCAUAAAACAUCACCAGAAUCUAUUUUUCCCUCUUUCUCUCUCUCUCUCCCGCCGCCAUUCUUCAUGCUCCAAGGAAGUCCAACGACGGACGAGGAAAAAAAAAAAAAAAGUGCAGAGGCGGUGGUGCGUCUGGCUGAUCAUCGGUGCUAGAACCUCUUAGGAUCCUUGGAGGCCUCUUGGAACUGUGCCGCAUUGCUGACUGGUGGUUCUAUUUAAUUUUUUUUGGUCUUAUUUUUGGAGUGUCAAGGAUACUGGCCAAGAAAAACAUGUAGAGCUUAUCUUACAGCUUCCACAAUGUCAGAGUUAAGUAAAGUUUGCAAAUUUACUUCCUGAGGUGUCUCAUGAACUUGGCAAAAUAAGGGAACGUCUUACAAGAAGCCAUCAGGCCUACACGUGGCAGUCCCUGAAGAAAAUAUACAUGCCUAACUGCAUUAUUUUUAUCACUAAUAAUCCUAACUGCAUUAUUUUUAUCACUAAUAAUCCUAUCUCGAAAUAGCUCAAGUCCUAGAAAGGAGGGAAUAUACACAAACAAACCGGGAGUUCAGGAAAUUAUCGAAUAGACGGAAUGGAAGAGUGAAAGCGUUGGUUAACUCUUGCAUCAGUGAAAUAGCUUGUUUUGAUCUUUGCCUCUGGUUGAGUUAUGUUGCACGCUAAGUGGUUACGUGGCAUUGGCAGGAUAACACGUGUUCUUUGUAUUUAUUUCAAACCCAAUUCAAUCAGCGCUUCAUCAGGCAUUGCGACUUAUUGUUAUUAAGCAAAUGGAAAAAAAAACGCUGGCAGUAUGAAGUGGAUAUACAGAUGAAGUAAAUCUGUGCUGUGCUGUGCUGUGAUUGUGUGUGUGUGUGUGUGUGUGUGUGUGUGUGUGUGUGUGGCUCUGUAACUCUGGUUCUUGAAGUAGUACGAGUUUCUUAUUUACGAGGUAGUUGUGUUGUGCUUGUGUUUUAUUAAAGUUUUUUAUUGUGA